GUAACCGGUCAUCCCAGUAGUAGUCUCCCAGGUGCGCCAUCCUGCUCGCAGCCCGAUCCCGGGCUAGGGCGCCGAAGAAGCUGGGGGAAGGCGGCACCCGAGCUGCACGGCGUGCUCAUGGGGGUGGAGGGACAGCGAGCCCCCCGGCGAUGAGACGGCCGCACUGGCUGUAUGAUGCGGUCGGUCUCCACCGGCUCCUUUUUCACUUCAAACUUCAUCAGAUCGAAGUCAUUAACAUAUUCCAUGGCCAGGGGACUGGUGGGCAGGUCGGAGUUGCUCAUCGCCAGUUCCGUUGCCAUCCUCCUGCCGCCGCCGCCGCCGCCGCCGCUCCGCCAGAUGGGCUGCAGGAGAGGGGCCAGCGGGCUGUGCUGGGCGGCGAGCGGCAAAAUCGCGAAGUCCUGGGGAAAGGCGAGGCAGAAGAGCCAAGGGGGAGGCCGAGCGGGUGAGCGGCCCGAGCUACAGCGCGAAGAUGAAAAAAGAUUUUAAAGCCUGUGAUCCAGCAAGAAGAGUUUAAAGCAAUUGCUGAGUUUUAUAGCACUCGUGACGUCAGGCCCAAAUGGGAAAUUGACUGGCACUCUGGGCCAAUGGCAGGCUGCGAGCGCGGCGGCGAUUAGCAUAAUAGUAUAGAAACAAGGAAACUUUUCGGAGCUGUCAAUCAGGGCCCAAUCAGCUGACUGUCAGCUGGGACGGGCUGGCUUAACCCUUGCCGCGCCGCGCUCCCCGGGCGCGCGAGCCAGGCCCCGCGCAAAGUUUAGCGCAAGAAGAGUAGGGGUUUUCAGAGGGACUGCGGGAGCUCGGGCGGGCCCGGGAGCACCGAUCGCUGCUCCUCUCGAGCGCGACAGGGGCCGGCCGGCCUUCCGGGGCCCCCCGCUCACCCUCUGCGGCCGGCGCUGGCACCCGCCGGACUCCCCGGCCCUGCCACCUCCCACCCAGUCCCCAGCGCCGCGCGUCGGCCUGGAGGCUUUUCCUCCUCGCUGCACCUCUGGCGUCCAGGUGUCGGCUGGGGGACCCUGCUUCCCUGGACAGCUCUGCGGUGCUCCGCGCUCAAACUUGGCUCCAACUCUGUCCCUCUCACGGUGUCGCCCGCAGGAGGAUCGAAGAGCGAGAACUAUUGUUGGACCUGGUUGGUUUGUGCCUCAACAGCGCCACCUUUCGGCAAAGGGCAGAGCUGACCAGCGUCCACUACAUUUCACUAUGAAACAACCUGAAUUGAUCUGCGAAAGAGUUCUUUAG
rnacentral:lncRNA from 1 species